rnacentral:rRNA from 1 species
UGGGGAAUAUUGCACAAUGGGCGAAAGCCUGAUGCAGCAACGCCGCGUGAGGGACGACGGCCUUCGGGUUGUAAACCUCUUUUAGCAAGGAAGAAGCGAAAGUGACGGUACUUGCAGAAAAAGCGCCGGCUAACUACGUGCCAGCAGCCGCGGUAAUACGUAGGGCGCAAGCGUUAUCCGGAAUUAUUGGGCGUAAAGAGCUCGUAGGCGGUCUGUCGCGUCUGCUGUGAAAACCCGAGGCUCAACCUCGGGCCUGCAGUGGGUACGGGCAGACUAGAGUGCGGUAGGGGAGAUUGGAACUCCUGGUGUAGCGGUGGAAUGCGCAGAUAUCAGGAAGAACACCGAUGGCGAAGGCAGAUCUCUGGGCCGUAACUGACGCUGAGGAGCGAAAGGGUGGGGAGCAAAACAGGCCUAGAUGACCCUGGUAGUCCACCCCGUAAACGUUGGGAACUAGUUGUGGGUCCAUUCCACGGAUUCCGUGACGCAGCUAACGCAUUAAGUUCCCCGCCUGGGGGAGUACGGCCGC